rnacentral:rRNA from 1 species
CCUACGGGAGGCAGCAGUGAGGAAUAUUGGUCAAUGGCCGAGAGGCUGAACCAGCCAAGUCGCGUGAGGGAAGAAUGUCCUAUGGACUGUAAACCUCUUUUGUCAGGGAGCAAAGUCACCCACGUGUGGGUGUUGGAGAGUACCUGAAGAAAAAGGAUCGGCUAACUCCGCUCCAGCCGCCGCGGUAAUACGGAGGAUGCGAGCGUUAUCCGGAUUUAUUGGGUUUAAAGGGAGCGUCGGUGGAUUGUUAAGUCAGUUGUGAAAGUUUGCGGCUCAACCGUAACAGUGCAGUUGAAACUGGCAGUCUUGAGUACAGUAGAGGUGAGCGGAAUUCGUGGUGUAGCGGUGAAAUGCUUAGAUAUCACGAAGAACUCCGAUUGCGAAGGCAGCUCACUGGACUGCAACUGACACUGAGGCUCGAAAGUGUGGGUAUCAAACAGGAUUAGAUACCCUUGUAGUC